GAUCUCCUACGGGGGGCAGCAGUGGGGAAUAUUGCACAAUGGGGGGGACCCUGAUGCAGCGACGCCGCGUGAGUGAAGAAGUAUCUCGGUACGUAAAGCUCUAUCAGCAGGGAAGAAAAUGACGGUACCUGACUAAGAAGCCCCGGCUAACUACGUGCCAGCAGCCGCGGUAAUACGUAGGGGGCAAGCGUUAUCCGGAUUUACUGGGUGUAAAGGGAGCGUAGACGGCAGCGCAAGUCUGGAGUGAAAUGCCGGGGCUCAACCCCGGAACUGCUUUGGAAACUGUGCAGCUAGAGUGCGGGAGG
rnacentral:rRNA from 1 species